UGUGCUUCCCCAGCCGAUCGCAGGACAAGGAGGAGGUGGAUGUGUUGGGGGAGGCAUGGAUGUCCAUCGAGUGAAGAGGUCUGAGCCCCCCGUGGCUGACCAGGUGGAGCAGCUGCGCCAGUGACGCUCGGCUGCCUCUCU